AACACUGUUAACCUGCGGUACCUGCGGAAGGAUCAUUAUAGUAUAUGGAAUCUCCAUUCUAUAAACCCACUCUGCGUAUCUUGUAACUGUUGCUUCCAUAGGACUUGGUUCCGCCACACCGGCUUCACGGCUGGUGAGCGCCCAUGGAAGGAGAAACAAAACUCUUCUUUGAAAUGUAGUCAGUCUGAACAAGUUUUUAUAAACGUUAAAACUUUCAACAAUGGAUCUCAGAUCGGAAGA
rnacentral:misc_RNA from 1 species